AAUGAACGCUGGCGGCGUGGAUUAGGCAUGCAAGUCGAACGCGAAAGUUCCCUUCGGGGAGCGAGUAGAGUGGCGAAAGGGUGAGUAAUGCUUGGAUGACCUGCCCUCGAGACGGGGACAACAGUUCGAAAGGACUGCUAAUACCCGAUAGUCCGGUUUAGAUGCGUCUAGAUCGGUAAAUGGUGCUUCCGCUCGAGGAGGGGUUCAAGUCCUAUCAGCUUGUUGGUGAGGUAACGGCUCACCAAGGCGAUGACGGGUAGCCGGACUGAGAGGUUGGCCGGCCACAUGGGAACUGAGACACUGUCCUGACUCCUACGGGAGGCUGCAGUCGAGAAAUCUUCUGCAAUGGCGAAAGACCUGACAGAGCGACGCCG
rnacentral:rRNA from 1 species